rnacentral:rRNA from 1 species
CCAAGCUACAAAGAGCCAACGGUGGAUGCCUUGGCGCCAAGAACCGAUGAAGGACGUGAGUGACUGCGAAAAGCUACGGGGAGCCGUCUACUAGGCCUCGAUCCGUACGAUGUCCGAAUGGGGAAACCCAGCACUCGUCAUGGAGUGUUACCCCCGCCUGAAUACAUAGGGCGGGUGGAGGGAACCAGGGGAAUUGAAACAUCUCAGUACCCUGAGGAAAGGAAAGCAACCGCGACACCCUAAGUAGCGGCGAGCGAAAAGGGUAGAGACUAAACCGUGUCAGUGCCAAGCCUGGUGGCGUUGCUGACGCGGGGUCGUGGGACCCGAGAGAACCCGCACCAGAGGGUUCACGGAGUUACCAAGCUGCUGUGUAGGAGAAUGGUUCUGGAAAGGCCAGCCAAAGUGGGUAAUGGCCCCGUAUCCGAAACACACGCAGCCUCCGCUCGAUCAUCCCAAGUAACGCCGGGACCGUGAAAACCGGCGUGAAUCUGCGGGGACCACCCCGUAAGUCUAAGUAUUCCUUGGCGACCGAUAGUGAACCAGUACCGUGAGGGAAAGGUGAAAAGUACCCCGGGAG